UUUCCGUAGGUGAACCUGCGGAAGGAUCAUUACAGAGUUCAUGCCCUUCUGGGUAGAUCUCCCACCCUUGUGUAUUCUAAUUAAUUGUUGCUUUGGCUGGCCGUACGCUCUGCUUACCCGGGGAUCUCUCCGGUGAGCCCGCCAGAGAACCCCAAACUCUGAAUUUUAGUGUCGUCUGAGUACUAUAUAAUAGUUAAAACUUUCAACAACGGAUCUCUUGGUUCUGGCAUCGAUGAAGAACGCAGC
rnacentral:misc_RNA from 1 species